CGUCCAGUUCGAUCAGCGGCACGGUGCGGCCCUGCUUGGCGCGCAGGGUGAACCCCUCGUCGCUGGCGGGGUUCACGCCGUGCGGGACGCC
rnacentral:tRNA from 1 species